rnacentral:rRNA from 1 species
UCCUGCUUGGCCAAUCUGUCCACCCUGAACAAGCUAAGCAGGGUCAGGCCUGGUUAGUACUUGAAUGGGAGACCACCUAGGAAUACCAGGUGCUGUAGGCA